GGAAGGGGCUCAUGUGGCUUCCCCGGGGCACAGCCUCCGCCUCCAGAGCCGGCUCCGUCGGUGCUGGGAAUGCAGUGAUCCCUUGGGCCAUGCCAGGCUGGAGUGAACCCCUUCCCAUGGUGUCUGAUGGGGUGGUGCUCCCGGGGAAUGGCUGCUGUGGGAUCCCCGGGAAUGGCUGCUGUGGGAUCCCGGGAAUGGCUGGUGUGGGAUCCCUGGGGUGCCAUGGGAUCCCCGGCCUGGUUCCCUUCCCUCGCUCUGUUCCUCCAUCCCAGCAGCAUCCCGGCCUUUCCUUGUGUUUUCCCUCAGCUCCGGGUUCCCAGAGAGGAUCCUCCCACCAGGCUUCCCGCUCCUGCUCCCUCAUCCCGACUUUCCCUGUGCAAGGAUGCCCUUCCCGCUGCUCAUCCUGGCACUCAGCCUGGCAGGUGCCAUGGAGAUCCAGGUGCCGGAGGAGCCCGUGGUGGCCCUGUUUGGCCAGGACGCCACGCUGCUGUGCUCCUUCUCUCCCGAGGCCAACUUCAGCGUGGCCGAGCUGAGCCUCAUCUGGCAGCUGACGGACACCAAGCGCCUGGUGCACGGCUUCUCCGGGGGCCGCGACCGCCUGCAGGACCAGGGCCGCGGCUACGCCAACCGCACGGCGCUCUUCUACGACCAGCUGCAACGGGGCAACGUGUCCCUGCUGCUGCGCCGCGUGCGCAUCUCCGACGAGGGCAGCUUCACCUGCUUCGUGCGCGUGCGCGACUACGACAGCGCCGCCGUCGCGCUGCAGGUGGCGGCUCCCUACUCCAAGCCCAGCGUGCACCUGGAGCCCAGCAAGGACCUGAAGCCGGGCGACGUGGCCGAGGUGACGUGCCACGCGUCCCGCGGCUACCCCGAGGCCAGCGUGCUGUGGCAGGACAGCCGGGGUGCCAACCUGACGGCCAACGUCACCACGUGGCAGGUGGCCAACGAGGAGGGGCUCUUCGAGGUGCGCAGCGUCCUGCGCGUGCUGGUGGAGCCCAGCGUCACCUACUCGUGCCUGGUGCUCAACGCCGCGCUGCGCCAGCACGGCCACGCCUCUGUCACCAUCACGGCCCCUGGCAUUCCCGGCGGUGGCCCUGUGGGUGACAGUGGCGCUGGCCGUGUGCGUGGUGGCCCUGCUGGGCGUCCUGGCCUUCGUGUGCCACCAGAAGAUCCGGGAGAGCUGCCGGGAGGAUGAGGAGCGCGCAGGGCCAGAGGAGCGGGAUGAGGAGGGGGAGGAGCCCAAGACAGCUCUGCAGCUGCUGGAAAACACGGAGAGCAGAGAGGGUCGGGAGCAGGAGAUCGAUUGACGGCAGCCCCGCCCCGCCCGCGUGUCCCCGAGCGAGCGGCGACACCCCCGGGACGGCGACACUCCCUGGGGCGGUGACACUCCCUGGGCCGGUGACGCUCCCUGGGGCGGUGACAUCCCCUGGCGGUGACACCUCCAAGCCGGCGACAACCCUGGGGCAGCGACACCCCCGGGGGGUGACACCCCCGGGACGGCGACACCC